UGAGCCUGUUGGAUGAGGAACGUAACU
rnacentral:piRNA from 1 species